UGGAUAAGAAAUCUAUCACCUUAAAAUGAUAGCAUAUUCCAAUCGAAUUGGCAACAAUAAUUCCAUUUCAAAAGUGAAUUAUUUUCGUUUUUUUUUUAACUAAUUCGAAAAGUAUUCCUGAUAUUUAUUUAAUCUUAUAGAUAUGUACUCUUAAUAGUUGCUAUAUCAAGUUACUUAUUAUACAUCGUAUUUUCAUUGGAAAAUUUAAAGGCGAUCAAAAUGGUAAAUAUUUGGGAAAAGACUUGUGCAGUGUUCAGAGGAAGAAACUCUAAAGAAAAUAAAGAUAUCCCUUCAUCAGUCGCGGUUGAUCUGAGAAGUCGCGAAAGUUUAAUUUGGCUUCACACAUGAAAACGGCUAAAGCCAUGAGUCUCCCCCCUCCACGUUACCUUCUUCAAUCUCCAGGAGGAGGGAUUUAAUGCGCUUUAGUCAUCAGCCAUCUGCUUCAGGGGUCCGCAGUGAAUUUUUUUGAUCCGUAAGAUCGCCGCGUCCAAAGUAGUAAGUAUAUAGCAAUGAUCUACGAGAUCGCUGCGACUUCUUUAGGUCCAAAAGGAGCCGCGUCGAAUGAAGGGCUAUAGAUGUUCAUUUUAUGUUUUGUAAUAUCGAUAAAUUAUUAAUUUGGUUUUUAUAAAAACAUACUGUGACAUAGAUUUUGUUCAUAUUUAUCAAUUGCUAUAAGGUCUUUAAUUAAAAAAAAUUCUUCUAUGAAUAUGUUUUAUAAUAAAGAAUUUCUUUUAUUUUAAAAAUUGUUUAAAUGUACUCCAGACUCUUAAACCGUGAAAUACAAUAGAUUUUUGAUAAUAGUCUUCAAUAUUAUA